rnacentral:lncRNA from 1 species
CAUGGUGUUCGAACACAGGCAUGUGAGACCCUGAAAUACUCUGCGGCUUCAUCAGGCUUGAGAGAACAGACACAGCAUCCCCCUUUGCUGGCUGUGGAAGGAGCUGAUAGUAAAUCACAAGUCUGUUGCCUGAAAACACACUGCAAAUGAGAAGAGAUUUCCUCUGCGCAGAAUUUGCAGUUUGUGUAGAAAGUGUCUGUGAUACCUCUGCACCACAGGGAGAGGGGGCAUCAUGUUGUUGUCUCCAGCUAUAAAAGCGCUCUCGCACUGUUUUGUUCCAGCGGGUGAAUUAGCAAAUUGGAUUUGCUCCCAGGAGUAAAAUAUUCAUUUAUCAUUUCAUGGAAAACCCGACUGCUGUGUAAGAUGUGCUGUUGCCUGCUCCACAUCUGUUUGCGGUGAGCUACGAUGUGUUCCUCAGGAAGCUUUUAUCUCAGAAAUAAUGAUGGACACGCAGAAGCAACUGACCACGCAGAGCGGCUCUUGGCUGGUAUGUCCAUGCUAAAAUCCACUCUUGUGCUGUGCAAGUGUUAAGGAGGCAUUUACCUCGUUAACGCUGGCAAUGCGGGAGUGCAAACCAGAGGAAAGCCUGCAAAGCCACGUCUGCAACCACAUCUCAACAAAGGGCUGAUUCUGCCUCGAAAUACGCCACAUCUUCAUUUACUCAGCUCGUGUCCCUCCUGCCUUGGCCUCAAGCUGCAAAAUUCACCCUGUAACUGCCCGGAGAGCUGGCGGUACAGGAUCUGUAAGCGAUACAAACAUCAGGAUCCUCGCCGGUGUCUCUCUGGGGGACAGACGUUUAGAGAAGGUGUGGAAUUUAUGAUGUAACUGAAGAUGUCAAGAGCUUGUUAAUCGGUAUCACCCCAAUCACUUUUCCUUUUAAAAAG